rnacentral:lncRNA from 1 species
GAGGACGUGGCCAGCAGGACCUCGAAGACCCGGGACCGCCCCUGCCAUCUGCCUUUGCUGACCCAGCGCCCUGAGGACUCUGAGCAGAUGCCUCGCUUGGAAACCCUGGUAGAACAAACGGUGGGACAGCGCCGGACCUCAGUCCCUCAUGGAUACUGGUGAGAUUUUCUCUCUGUUCCUGAAUGAAAUUUUACAAACUGCCAUCAUGCUUUCUCUCGCAUGUUUCUAGUGCGGCCGUGGGAUGAAGGAGGUGCACAAGGUCCAAUAGACGAGCGCCAGGAUCCUCCUGCGCAGGACCUUCUGUGGCUUCCCCUGGCUGGACUCGCGGCAGGCAGCCGUUUCCUGUGCAGAGCAGCACAGGCGGGAUGCACCAUGACCAACAUUGAUCCGGUGUCUCUGCGGAGCCGGUGAAAGACCCAGCAGACAAGUCGCAGCCCGAGACUCCACUGAAGCCACAACGUCUCCUGUUCCGUGGCCCCAGCUCUGAGGCUCCAGCUUCUUCAGGUGGCACUGCUGCAGCCUCCUCGGACUGGCCAAGCUUCUGAAGGCAUCUACAGGACGAAGCCUCGGCUGAGUUGUCCUCAGGGACUCCCCAGGCAGUGCCCUGCUGCCUCAGACUGUCCUUUCAGCCCCCACAGUGGACUGCCCAGCUGCCCACCUGCUGCAGGCCAUGGGAAGGUCCUUGGUCCCAGGACGUGAAAAUAUCAGCGACUUCUCUUCUGUCCUGUGGGGCUGGGGCUCUUGUACUCUCGAGUGGGACUGCUUGUUUUCAAUCCUUGCUCCCAUGUGGACUGUAUGUGAAGGUGAUUGGGAUCUCCGGAGGACUCUUUGGAGGGGCCUGUUCCUGACACAGCCAGGGCUUGUAAACCCGAGAACCAUAGGCACUGCAAUGGGAGAGAGCCCAGACGCCACUUACUCCUCAGCCUCCUUAGACCUUGGAAUCCAAGACUUUGACGAAUGAAGACUUCACUGGCACCUGGGAGCCACCGUGGCCGGCAUCAAGAAUGCAGAGUGAGGACAUGGCCUGAGGAGCCGGGAAGACCCGGGACCUGUUCUGCCAUCUGCCUUAGGUGAUCCAACAAGCUGAGGGACCCGAGCAGAUGCCUCCCUGAAGACCCUCAGAAACAAAGGGUUGUAAAGUAAUGGAACUCAUUGCAACAUGCACGCAAGCAGUUUUCGCUGGUACUCAUUUGAGAUACUCUGUCCAUACCUCAAUAAAAUUUUAUAAUAAUCCCA